rnacentral:lncRNA from 1 species
UGUUUACAAAGAAUGCUCAAAAACAAGGAAUUAUGUAUAACAGUUCCCAGUUUACUCAGGAAAUUCUCAGAUUACAAAGAGACUUUACGAAUAACAAGUGAAGAGAAGAACCUUAGUGGUUCCAACAUAGUAUGGCCAUCGUUUUAUACUCAAAAUAUAGAAAGACAACCUCAGAAUAGAAUUGAAUAAAUCAAGUUUAUCAUUAAAACGCAAAGAAAAAAAAACUCUCCAAACGUUGCUGAUCUUCUGUUUUAAACUACUGUUAGACUGGUGAGCUGGAGAGCCGGGGGAAUCCACCAAAGAUUUUUGGAUGAAAAUUAAUCAUCCCUUGUCCACCGUAGUCGCACCCCAAUGCCCCUCAGAUCCAGUCCUUCGAAGGAGUGUCCAAGAGGUAUAAAGCAAAACCGGAAAAACAGUUCCCAAAUUCUGGAGUUUGUUUUCUCUCAUUAAAAAUAUAAAUAUCAGGCUAACACCUAUUGACACACAAUAACAGGGACACAGAAUCCCUCCCGGAAGACCCAUGGGCCCACGGACCCCGCGGAUGCCACAGUGGUUGACGAGGUUAAGUAACUGGGUUCAGGGUGUCUGGGCAUACCUGUGCGUGAGACUCUGUCUCCGCUGCUCCCCUCAUCUCCACUGCUCCCCUCGUCUCCCCACGAUCCUCCCUUUUCCUUGGGCCGCUGAUGGCUCUCCGACUCACGAAGAGUCUCCCUGGCCCCUGCAGCUCUCUCCUUCCCAGACCUUUACUUCUUGAUCCUCACUCCA